rnacentral:misc_RNA from 1 species
CGCACAUUGCGCCCCUUGGUAUUCCAUGGGGCAUGCCUGUUCGAGCGUCAUUUGUACCCUCAAGCUCUGCUUGGUGUUGGGUGUUGUCCAGUUUGGACUCGCCUCAAAACAAUUGGCAGCCGGCAUAUCUGGUCUUGGAGCGCAGCACAUUUUGCACUUCCAGCCUGAGAUGUUGGCACCCACAAGCCUAAUUUUUUACGCUUGACCUCGGAUCAGGUAGGGAUACCCGCUGAACUUAA